AUGAAAAUCAUUUUAAGCAUGUUGCUCAAAUUUAUAUGGCUAAUCAGGGCUAAGCAUUUUAAAUAUCUAUAUAUAUAAAGCUAUUAUUGUAAUGCAGAUUUGGAUAUAGGGAAGCCUUGUUUUGAACUUCAAACUUUGGACACAAGAUAAGUAGAUACUGCAGGUGAAAAUGUACAAAAUGGUAGUCAUCCCACCCAGUUAAGCUAAUAGGUCAUGAUGAUCUUAACAUUUGGGAUUUCCAGAUGAAAAGAAUGAGCAAGUAUACACGCUACUUCUUAGAUACCAGAUCUGUUACCAUUAAAUGCUAACACCUUGCCUACCAGAUAUAGACAAACCAAAAGACUGCAUUUUGUGACUUGCACAUGUGACUCAGAGAAAUGGUUCAAAUUCAGUUGAAGUUCAACUCACUUGACUUGCCUAUAUCUCACCAAAUACCUUCUAAGGCAAACAGUAAUACCAUGCCCCCACCAAAGUCCAUUUGUCUAUGACAGGGGUCAGGCUGAAAUAAUGCAAACAUUACAACUGUAUGCCAUGAUGAGGACUGGAAGAUCAUGGGAGACAUACAUAGAAGAAAAAAAUUCAAGUCCUGUCUACACAUUGUAUAAUAAAUGAUUUGUAUUGUGUACAUAAAUAAGGCUUUUUAUUUCACUCAUUGAUAUUUAUGUCUACUCAUUAUCCAGCAAGUUUUACAUAAAGAUGAUAGAACACAGACUUGUUCAAGCAAAUACUUCUUUUUUUUGUGUGCACACA
rnacentral:sRNA from 1 species